CUACCAACUAAAAUAAAUUAAGCAGGAUCCUCUUACGACCUAAGGUACCGCGAUGCUCCGUUAAACAAUGUCACCAGAAGGUGCGGUGGCAUGAUGUGGUAUUCCCAGUCUUUUGGGGUUAUCCUUCACCAUCCAAAGGUAGAGUACAAACGUACUCUCCCCCGUGCCACAGUAUACUUGCCCCCGGAAGGGGGCUUUCGUGUUACACGGGCAUGUUAGAGACACGCCGCCAGCGUCGUCUGUGCGCGGGGAUCUCUCAAUAAUCUAGAGAAUUCGGGGGGC
rnacentral:rRNA from 1 species